rnacentral:rRNA from 1 species
AAUAGAUACCCCGGUAGUCCACGCCCUAAACUAUGUCGACUGGUUGUUGGGGGAGUCUGUCCCGUCAGUAACGUAGCUAACGCGUGAAGUCGACCGCCUGGGGAGUACGGUCGCAAGAUUAAAACUCAAAGGAAUUGACGGGGACCCGCACAAGCGGUGGACUAUGUGGAUUAAUUCGAUGCAACGCGAAGAACCUUACCUACCCUUGACAUGCCAGGAACCUCGCAGAGAUGUGAGGGUGCCCGAAAGGGAACCUGGACACAGGUGCUGCAUGGCUGUCGUCAGCUCGUGUCGUGAGAUGUUGGGUUAAGUCCCGCAACGAGCGCAACCCUUGCCAUUAGUUGCUACAUUCAGUUGGGCACUCUAAUGGGACUGCCGGUGACAAACCGGAGGAAGGUGGGGAUGACGUCAAGUCCUCAUGGCCCUUAUGGGUAGGGCUUCACACGUAAUACAAUGGCGCAUACAGAGGGCUGCAAACCCGCGAGGGGGANCCGAAUCCCAAAAAGUGCGUCGUAGUCCGGAUUGUUCUCUGCAA